rnacentral:rRNA from 1 species
UACGUAGGCAGCGAGCGUUGUUCGGAGUUACUGGGCGUAAAGGGUGCGUAGGCGGUUGUUUAAGUUUGGUGUGAAAUCUCCCGGCUCAACUGGGAGGGUGCGCCGAAUACUGAAUGACUAGAGUGCGGGAGAGGAGAGUGGAAUUCCUGGUGUAGCGGUGAAAUGCGUAGAUAUCGGGAGGAACACCGGUGGUGUAGACGGCUCUCUGGACCGUAACUGACGCUGAGGCACGAAAGCGUGGGUAGCAAACAGG